GACGUAGGAGGCGAGCGUUAUCCGGAUUCACUGGGCGUAAAGCGCAUGUAGGCGGUUGUGUAAGUCCGAUGUUAAAGCCCCUGGCUCAACUGGGGGAGGUCAUUGGAGACUACUCGACUUGAGGGCAACAGAGGCACGUGGAACUCCCGGUGUAGCGGCGGAAUGCGUAGAGAUCGGGAAGAACACCAGUGGCGAAGGCGACGUGCUGGGUUGCAACUGACGCUGAGAUGCGAAAGUGUGGGGAGCAAACGGG
rnacentral:rRNA from 1 species